rnacentral:lncRNA from 1 species
AGUGUUGGAUCGUGAUCAGAGGCUAUAAGGAGGGAUAAUAGUCUCUUUUCGAUUUAUACAGGUUGAUUGCGGAAUUACCUGUAAACACUUAAUAAACAAAUGGUUGAACAAUAAUGAUAUAAAGAUAUUAUAACUUUGAUUGAUAUAAUAACGUAAUUAUUACUCUUCGAAGCUUACCACAGUAUAUGAAUACUGAGUCAACUUGCUUGAUAGUGUUUUACACACAACUAUAGUAUAUGAGUACUAAGUUAUAUUGUAAACAAAUUGUAUUGUAGAGUAAAUGACCAGAUAACUGGAUAUAUUGAUAAGCAAGUAAAUGACCAGAUAACUGGAUAUAUUGAUAAGCAAGUAAAUGAUCAGAUAACUGGAUAUAUAUGAUAAGUAAAUGCUUGAACAAAUAUAUGAAUAAGGAUUUAAAGCAAUGAAUAUAACCUCAUAUAGUUGACCAGAUAACUGGAUGAGGGAUCUGCGUAAAGUAGUCAACCUCUGUAUUUGACCAGAUAACUGGAAGAGGGAUCCUUUUCAAUUAAGUGUUAUUUUAGUUAUUUUUAGAUGAAAGAUAAAAACUAUAAUUAACAAAGAACAACACAAGAGAUUUAUACUGGUUCACCCAAACAAGGGCUAGUCCAGUCCCGACCAACUGCCGGAAUUCACUCGCCUAAAGGUUAUGGCAAAACCUUAGAGUAUCAAGGAAACUCUUAAGAACCUCUCUAAGCUUUAAGGCUACUUCACUUAGGAACCAGUCUUUUACGGGUAGACUCACACCUUAGAGUAUCAAGGGCACUCUUAAGAACCUCUAACUUUUGCAGAUAAGUUAGUACCUUAGAGUAUCAAGGAACUCUUAAAAACCUCUCUAAGAUUUAAGACUAACUUCGCUUAGGAACCAGUCUUUUACGGGUAGACUCACACCUUAGAGUAUCAAGGGCACUCUUAAGAACCUCUAACUUUUACGGGUAAGUUAGUACCUUAGAGUAUCAAGGAACUCUUAAAAACCUAGAAAUCUUUCAAGGUAGAUUCGACCUAAGAGUUUUCUCGGAAACUCUAUAAAACCAAACUAGAGCUUUAUGGUUGAGCUCGGAAACCUUCUCUCACACUUUGGUACUAUUGAGACAACCCUCUCAACCAAAGUGGACACACACAAGAGGUGAUUAGAGGAGUGGAAUAUUAAAGAAAACAACACUUCUUACUUGUAAAGAUGAACAAGAAGAUUAGAAGAAGAAGUUGG